GCAGGACAGCUGGAGCCAAGAUCAUUCUGUUGCAAUUCCCACCCGGCCUGCCUUUCUCCACUGUCGGUUACAUGAAACGUUCAGCCAACAUAUGGUCAAAAAGAACACGCACAGAGGUGGUGACUUCAGUGUUCAUCCAUGUGUAAAGGAGGCUCUGAGCAGCGGGAGGCCUGUUGUUGCCUUGGAGAGUACCAUCAUCACACAUGGCAUGCCGUAUCCCCAGAAUCUGAGGAUGGCCAGAGAAGUGGAAGAAAUCGUACAGACAAAUGGGUCAGUCCCGGCAACGAUCGGUGUUUUAAAUGGUCGCAUCCACGUAGGCCUCCAGGAUGAAGAGCUGGAAAUUCUGGCAACGAGCAAAAAUGUCAUGAAGGUGUCUCGGAGAGACCUUCCCUAUGUUCUCAGCCAGGGAUUGUCUGGUGGUACGACUGUAGCAGGAACCAUGAUGGUGGCCCACAAAGCGAGGAUCCCCGUGUUUGUGACAGGAGGAAUUGGAGGAGUCCACCGUGGAGGGGAGAACACUUUGGAUGUGAGCGCGGACCUGACCGAGUUAGGCCGUACUCCGGUUGCCGUGGUUUCUGCAGGUGUCAAGUCCAUUCUCGAUAUUGGCAGGACCCUGGAAUAUCUGGAAACUCAAGGUGUCUGCGUGGCCACUUUUGGAGAAUCAAGAGAGUUUCCAGCCUUCUUCUCCCAUCGGAGUGGCUUCCAGGCACCUUUUCGGGUGCAGAAUGAGGAUGCUGCUGCUCAGCUGAUCGCCACUCAGCCACCUAACGGCUGUGACUUUUCCUUCUCAGCCAGGUCUUUGGCUUUGCAGUUGGGCAGUGGAGUGCUGAUUGCAGUGCCCUGUCCUCAGGACCAAGCUGCUUCCGGACAGCUCAUUGAAGAAGCGAUUCAGCUGGCUUCGAGGGAAGCUCGGGAAAAGGGGAUCACAGGAAAGGAGCUCACACCCUUCUUGCUGCAGAGAGUGAACGAGUUCUCCAGUGGAGAGUCACUAAAAUCCAAUAUUGCCUUGAUCAAGAACAACGCCAGAGUGGGCAGCCGCAUCGCUGCAGCCCUGACUCAAAUCCAAAGAGGCCGGUGCGGGAGAGACGGCUCGCCUCGGCACGAAAAUGCCUCCGUCGCGACAAGUCCGGUGGUCAUCGGUGGCAUCAACGUUGAUAUCAUAGCCAAGGCAAGAGACGCAACAAUGCUGGAUGGAGGGCAGACUAAUCCCUCAACGGUGAGGCAAUCGUUCGGCGGCGUAGGGAGAAACCUAGCAGAUGGCUUAAGUCGUCUUGGGAAGGCUCCAUUCUUUAUCUCCGUCAUGGGGAAAGAUGAGCAUUCUGAGUCCGUCCUGCGCUACUGCAGUCAUAUGGAUAUGAGCGGCGUCUUGAGACUGAAAGGACACAACACCGCCACGUACUGCGCCGUGAUCACAGGCAGUGGAGACCUGGCCCUUGGCUUGGGAGACAUGGACGUCCACCAGCAGAUAACAGAGCAAUACGUGUCUGGGUUCAAGGAGAGGCUGCGCUUGGCCCCACUAGUGUGCAUUGAUGGGAAUGUGCCAGUUUCCACCAUUCAGUACAUCUGUCAGAUUGCCAGAGAUCAGCACCUCGCAGUGUGUUAUGAGCCAACAGAUGUGGACAAGGCUUCAAAGCCGUUCCUUUCGGACAGCUGGAGAGCGCUGGCCUGCAUAUCUCCCAAUCUACGGGAGCUUCGCGCAAUCAAUCGGACCCUGGGACAUCCUGUGCCAGCAGAUCUGCCAUCGAAGCUGGAAGACGUGGUCGAGGCCGCCGUGACCCUGGCCUGCCCCUUACUGAAAGAGUUGCACUGUGUGGUGGUAACACUGGGCCAACAUGGAGUGGUAGUGUGUGGCCGGAACAUGGGUGGCAGCAUCUCUCUCCACCCUGCAACUUUCAAUAAGAACGCGGCAGACGGGCUGUGCGCUGCUCACUACCCAGCGAUCCCUGUCCCCGCGGAGGAGAUAGUGAACGUCUCUGGAGCCGGCGACAGCUUAAUGGCUGGACUCAUUGCUGGGCUGCUUGCCGGAGAGGCCACUGACGACUGCAUCCGGAUGGGCCUCCUGUCCGCCAGCCUCUCCCUGCGCUCUCAUGAACCUGUUUCACCACAGAUCAACGGCGCCAGCAUCAACGCGGCAAGGCUGAAGGCUCAGAGUUGGCCGGUAGCAAAGAGGUGGAAGCUGCCUUAGGCCUUCUAGCUCUACUUGGAAGAGAUGCAGAGACCCCAGCCGGCCGGCUGGCCUUCCAACUUAAGUUGUUCUUUGUACCUGGACCAGUUGGCAGAGAAAAAGAACCCGAGACAGAAGGAUGAAGGUUUCCAAGGUGGCCACCCUCGCGGUGCUUUCGAUGCAGUUUUGUUUCCUGGCUCAAGCCGGUGGGAGGUUGGCCGGGAAAGGCUUGGUGGCGGAAGAUGACCCUGCCGAGGCUGCAACGGCCAAGAAGGCUCUCAGCCCAUCCCACGAAGGAGACAGAGAGGCGGAAAUGAGGAGGCAGCCUUCCCCCAGGUUGUGGAAGGCAGCGGGAGACGCUGGAGCCGGUGGUGGCACCCAGGGCAAAGUGGCAAGCAAACCUCAGCUGGGGACCAGUAAGCAGAAGGCCAGCGGCAAGAGGCAGAUGCCCCCGCCAUCCACACCAAAGAGCAAGAGCCCCGGGCUCCAGAGCCACUUGAAAGCCCACGGGCAGUUUAAUAUGGACACGUAUUCCUGUCCUGGAAUACAGUCGAAGGCCUGCAGAAAACCCUCAGACUGUGAUGGCUGCCUGGGCCUCUACACCUGCAAACUGCCAAGGGGAAAGUGCGACUUGAAAGCGGUGUCCCGGCAAACAGGUACCACAUAAACACAGCCAGAAAACCUAAUAUACAGGUGGCUUCUCCCAGAGUAUCCAACACAGAUAAAGACACUCGGUUCCUGUAAACUUUUAAAAAGGAUUGACCAGAAACAUUCCCUCAGGAGUUCGUGGUUCUAAGGUUAUCACCGGGUGGAGGACGGGGGUAAACUAAAUUAACUGAAAAUGAAAAGUGCUGUGCAAUAAAAUCGAACUUUGCAAGCUGUGCUCUAUUCACAUGAUAUAAAACGUUGUAAUUUUGAAUA